rnacentral:rRNA from 1 species
AGUGAACGCUGGCGGCAGGCCUAACACAUGCAAGUCGAACGGCAGCACAGCAGUAGCAAUACUGUGGGUGGCGAGUGGCGGACGGGUGAGGAAUACAUCGGAAUCUGCCUAGUCGUGGGGGGAUAACGUAGGGAAACUUACGCUAAUACCGCAUACGACCUACGGGUGAAAGCGGGGGAUCGCAAGACCUCGCGCGAUUAGAUGAGCCGAUGUCCGAUUAGCUAGUUGGCGGGGUAAUGGCCCACCAAGGCGACGAUCGGUAGCUGGUCUGAGAGGAUGAUCAGCCACACUGGAACUGAGACACGGUCCAGACUCCUACGGGAGGCAGCAGUGGGGAAUAUUGGACAAUGGGCGCAAGCCUGAUCCAGCCAUGCCGCGUGGGUGAAGAAGGCCUU